rnacentral:pre_miRNA from 1 species
UUAACUCAAGUUUGUAUGGAGUUGAAACGUUUGCCUACGUUUGCCGCUAGGGGCGCUGUUCUAACUCCAUACAAAUUUGAGUCA